rnacentral:rRNA from 1 species
UACGUAGGGGGCAAGCGUUGUCCGGAAUUAUUGGGCGUAAAGCGCGCGCAGGCGGCCUUGUAAGUCUGGUGUUUAAGCUCGGGGCUCAACCCCGAUACGCACCGGAAACAGCAAAGCUUGAGUGCAGAAGAGGAAAGUGGAAUUCCACGUGUAGCGGUGAAAUGCGUAGAGAUGUGGAGGAACACCAGUGGCGAAGGCGACUCUUUGGUCUGUAACUGACGCUGAGGCGCGAAAGCGUGGGGAGCAAACAGG